ensembl:miRNA
AAAAGUUUGUUCGGAUUUUUCUGUAACAUUUUGUGGAAAAACCUGAAUGAACUCUUUGG